rnacentral:rRNA from 1 species
UUAAGCGACUAAGCGUACACGGUGGAUGCCCUGGCAGUCAGAGGCGAUGAAGGACGUGCUAAUCUGCGAAAAGCGUCGGUAAGGUGAUAUGAACCGUUAUAACCGGCGAUGUCCGAAUGGGGAAACCCAGUGUGAUUCGUCACACUAUCGUUAACUGAAUACAUAGGUUAACGAGGCGAACCGGGGGAACUGAAACAUCUAAGUACCCCGAGGAAAAGAAAUCAACCGAGAUUCCCCCAGUAGCGGCGAGCGAACGGGGAGCAGCCCAGAGUCUGAAUCAGCUUGUGUGUUAGUGGAACGGUCUGGAAAGUCCGACGGUACAGGGUGAUAGUCCCGUACACCAAAAUGCACAGGCUGUGAACUCGAAGAGUAGGGCGGGACACGUGGUAUCCUGUCUGAAUAUGGGGGGACCAUCCUCCAAGGCUAAAUACUCCUGACUGACCGAUAGUGAACCAGUACCGUGAGGGAAAGGCGAAAAGAACCCCGGCGAGGGGAGUGAAAAAGAACCUGAAACCGUGUACGUACAAGCAGUGGGAGCACCUUCGGGUGUGACUGCGUACCUUUUGUAUAAUGGGUCAGCGACUUAUAUUCUGUAGCAAGGUUAACCGUAUAGGGGAGCCGCAGGGAAACCGAGUCUUAACUGGGCGUUAAGUUGCAGGGUAUAGACCCGAAACCCGGUGAUCUAGCCAUGGGCAGGUUGAAGGUUGGGUAACACUAACUGGAGGACCGAACCGACUAAUGUUGAAAAAUUAGCGGAUGACUUGUGGCUGGGGGUGAAAGGCCAAUCAAACCGGGAGAUAGCUGGUUCUCCCCGAAAGCUAUUUAGGUAGCGCCUCGUGAAUUCAUCUUCGGGGGUAGAGCACUGUUUCGGCUAGGGGGUCAUCCCGACUUACCAACCCGAUGCAAACUACGAAUACCGAAGAAUGUUAUCACGGGAGACACACGGCGGGUGCUAACGUCCGUCGUGAAGAGGGAAACAACCCAGACCGCCAGCUAAGGUCCCAAAGUCAUGGUUAAGUGGGAAACGAUGUGGGAAGGCACAGACAGCCAGGAUGUUGGCUUAGAAGCAGCCAUCAUUUAAAGAAAGCGUAAUAGCUCACUGGUCGAGUCGGCCUGCGCGGAAGAUGUAACGGGGCUAAACCAUGCACCGAAGCUGCGGCAGCGACACUAUGUGUUGUUGGGUAGGGGAGCGUUCUGUAAGCCUGCGAAGGUGUGCUGUGAGGCAUGCUGGAGGUAUCAGAAGUGCGAAUGCUGACAUAAGUAACGAUAAAGCGGGUGAAAAGCCCGCUCGCCGGAAGACCAAGGGUUCCUGUCCAACGUUAAUCAGGGCAGGGUGAGUCGACCCCUAAGGCGAGGCCGAAAGGCGUAGUCGAUGGGAAACAGGUUAAUAUUCCUGUACUUGGUGUUACUGCGAAGGGGGGACGGAGAAGGCUAUGUUAGCCGGGCGACGGUUGUCCCGGUUUAAGCAUGUAGGCUGGUUGUCCAGGCAAAUCCGGAUAAUCAAGGCUGAGGUGUGAUGACGAGGCACUACGGUGCUGAAGUAACAAAUGCCCUGCUUCCAGGAAAAGCCUCUAAGCAUCAGGUAACAUUAAAUCGUACCCCAAACCGACACAGGUGGUCAGGUAGAGAAUACCAAGGCGCUUGAGAGAACUCGGGUGAAGGAACUAGGCAAAAUGGUGCCGUAACUUCGGGAGAAGGCACGCUGGUGUGUAGGUGAAGUCCCUGCGGAUGGAGCUGAGACCAGUCGAAGAUACCAGCUGGCUGCAACUGUUUAUUAAAAACACAGCACUGUGCAAACACGAAAGUGGACGUAUACGGUGUGACGCCUGCCCGGUGCCGGAAGGUUAAUUGAUGGGGUUAUCCGUAAGGAGAAGCUCUUGAUCGAAGCCCCGGUAAACGGCGGCCGUAACUAUAACGGUCCUAAGGUAGCGAAAUUCCUUGUCGGGUAAGUUCCGACCUGCACGAAUGGCGUAAUGAUGGCCAGGCUGUCUCCACCCGAGACUCAGUGAAAUUGAACUCGCUGUGAAGAUGCAGUGUACCCGCGGCAAGACGGAAAGACCCCGUGAACCUUUACUAUAGCUUGACACUGAACAUUGAGCCUUGAUGUGUAGGAUAGGUGGGAGGCUUUGAAGCGUGGACGCCAGUCUGCGUGGAGCCAACCUUGAAAUACCACCCUUUAAUGUUUGAUGUUCUAACGUUGGCCCCUGACCGGGGUUGCGGACAGUGUCUGGUGGGUAGUUUGACUGGGGCGGUCUCCUCCCAAAGCGUAACGGAGGAGCACGAAGGUUAGCUAAUCCUGGUCGGACAUCAGGAGGUUAGUGCAAUGGCAUAAGCUAGCUUGACUGCGAGCGUGACGGCGCGAGCAGGUGCGAAAGCAGGUCAUAGUGAUCCGGUGGUUCUGAAUGGAAGGGCCAUCGCUCAACGGAUAAAAGGUACUCCGGGGAUAACAGGCUGAUACCGCCCAAGAGUUCAUAUCGACGGCGGUGUUUGGCACCUCGAUGUCGGCUCAUCACAUCCUGGGGCUGAAGUAGGUCCCAAGGGUAUGGCUGUUCGCCAUUUAAAGUGGUACGCGAGCUGGGUUUAGAACGUCGUGAGACAGUUCGGUCCCUAUCUGCCGUGGGCGCUGGAGAAUUGAGGGGGGCUGCUCCUAGUACGAGAGGACCGGAGUGGACGCAUCACUGGUGUUCGGGUUGUCAUGCCAAUGGCACUGCCCGGUAGCUAAAUGCGGAAGAGAUAAGUGCUGAAAGCAUCUAAGCACGAAACUUGCCCCGAGAUGAGUUCUCCCUGAGACUUUAAGUCUCCUGAAGGAACGUUAAAGACGAUGACGUUGAUAGGCCGGGUGUGUAAGCGCAGCGAUGCGUUGAGCUAACCGGUACUAAUGAACCGUGAGGCUUAACCUU